rnacentral:rRNA from 1 species
GAUGAACGCUAGCGGCAGGCCUAACACAUGCAAGUCGAGGGAGGAGCCUUCGGGCUUCGACCGGCGUACGGGUGCGUAACGCGUAUACAAUCUGCCUUUCACAUAGGGAUAGCCCGAAGAAAUUUGGAUUAAUACCUAAUGGUAUAUAGGAGUGGCAUCACAUUUAUAUUAAAGCUGAGGCGGUGAAAGAUGAGUAUGCGUUCUAUUAGCUAGUUGGAGAGGUAACGGCUCCCCAAGGCGACGAUAGAUAGGGGUUCUGAGAGGGAUAUCCCCCACACUGGUACUGAGAUACGGACCAGACUCCUACGGGAGGCAGCAGUGAGGAAUAUUGGACAAUGGUCGGAAGACUGAUCCAGCCAUGCCGCGUGCAGGAAGACGGCCUUAUGGGUUGUAAACUGCUUUUGCAGGGGAAGAAUAAGGACUACGCGUAGUUUGAUGACGGUACUCUGCGAAUAAGCAUCGGCUAACUCCGUGCCAGCAGCCGCGGUAAUACGGAGGAUGCGAGCGUUAUCCGGAAUCAUUGGGUUUAAAGGGUCCGUAGGCGGGCUAAUAAGUCAGAGGUGAAAGCGCUCAGCUCAACUGAGCAACUGCCUUUGAAACUGUUAGUCUUGAAUGGUUGUGAAGUAGUCGGAAUGUGUAGUGUAGCGGUGAAAUGCUUAGAUAUUACACAGAACACCGAUAGCGAAGGCAUAUUACUAACAAUUAAUUGACGCUGAUGGACGAAAGCGUGGGGAGCGAACAGG